GAUGAACGCUGGCGGCGUGCCUAAUACAUGCAAGUCGAGCGAACAGACGAGGAGCUUGCUCCUCUGACGUUAGCGGCGGACGGGUGAGUAACACGUGGAUAACCUACCUAUAAGACUGGGAUAACUUCGGGAAACCGGAGCUAAUACCGGAUAAUAUAUUGAACCGCAUGGUUCAAUAGUGAAAGACGGUUUUGCUGUCACUUAUAGAUGGAUCCGCGCCGCAUUAGCUAGUUGGUAAGGUAACGGCUUACCUAGGCAACGAUGCGUAGCCGACCUGAGAGGGUGAUCGGCCACCCUGGAACUGAGACACGGUCCAGACUCCUACGGGAGGCAGCAGUAGGGAAUCUUCCGCAAUGGGCGAAAGCCUGACGGAGCAACGCCGCGUGAGUGAUGAAGGUCUUCGGAUCGUAAAACUCUGUUAUUAGGGAAGAACAAAUGUGUAAGUAACUAUGCACGUCUUGACGGUACCUAAUCAGAAAGCCACGGCUAACUACGUG
rnacentral:rRNA from 1 species